GCACGGUGGCGCAGUUGGUAGCACUGUUGCCUUGCAGCAGGAAGGGCCUGGGUUCGAUUCCCAGCAUGGGCU